GUCAGUUAUUGAAGAACGAGAGGAAUCCAGCACCUUGGUGGGAUCUUGUGAGGCCGAUGUUUUUAUACAAGAACCAUGCUGAGAUAUCUUGGAUCAUAUAAGGAGCAUGAGGCCCUGUUGAGGUUGUGUCCUGACUCAUUCCUAUUGUGGCAACAAAUUCUUGACAGCGGCAUAAAAUGAAACCCAUUGGGUGUGUCUCAAGAAUGAAAUAGAACCUGAUACAGUGCCAUGGCUUUUGCACACCUCAUUAACACUCAUGUUAUCAUAAAACACCUGUGAAUCCAUCUGUUUGUCAGAGAGCAUUGUCACACGACCUGUGUGUUCGUUCACCUGUGAUGUACUACAAAAAAUUGAUAUAUUUAUGAAGAAAUUGUCUAAAAAAUAUAUUUGGAAAAAAGUAUGAUGGUUGGACAUUGUGAGUGGGUGGCCAUAACAUAUUUUUGUGGACAGUGGGGGGCUUUGAAGUAAAAAAAUUGAGAUGCACUGUUCUAGUGUUCAUGUUAAGGGAGCCUUGUUUCAUAAAAUGAAAAAAUCAUAGAAAUGUUAUAUCUACAAUUGUCUACAAAUAUCUACAAAUAAAAAUUGUCACCUUGUACACACAGAGUGCUCUCACUGCACUCCAGGCAGCAGAUCUGAUGAUAUUACAAAUCAGCAAUAUCAGUAACUGAAUGACCCUUUGAGGGACUGGCCAUGUAACCUCUCUGUGGCCCAGGAUGCUGUGAUGAGCUCCAGCCCCCGUGUGACCCUGCAGAGGACAGGCAGGUUCAGAAAAUGGAGGGAUUGCCCAUUAUUUAAAUGUGUCCUUGAACGGAAAAUGAGAAGUACACUUGUGAAAAUAGUUAUAAAUUGAUCUGUUUUUGCUUGACUUGUCAAACAAUAAAAACAAUAGCAGGGUUGCAUUUUUUAUUGAAUAUGGUUAGGUACAGGGAACAAGGCAAAUAUGUUUUUACGCAUACUGUCAGAAAGCAUUUUUAUUCCCAUCCAUCAUUCUGUCACUUAAUUAAAAGGCUGUCAGCAUCAGAAGUGACAUUGCAUCGGACCCGCUGGGGAUGUAUUUUAGUUUGCUGCUCAAGUCUUGAGCAGUCAUAUUCAGAUAUAAAUGACCCAUUUUACUCUGCACAUUUUUGCAUAGCUCACUGAGCUAUUUUUAAUUAAGCCAAGGUAAAGGUUAAUUAAUUGAUUCUUUGAUUUGCUAAAUAUGACUUUUGUUGCCUCAAGGGUUUUAUUCCUCCUAGGAGUUUUCCCACAGGGUUUUUCUUCUAGGGGUUUUUUCAUCCUCGGGAGAGUCAGCCAACAUUGGCUUAACUUACCACUUUACUGUAUACGUUACAAUAUUAGUACGCUCGCUUGUACGGUUUAUUCUUAGCCGCUGUAUUCUUCUUUUUAUAUUAUCUAUAGAUUAUUCUUUGUUUUC